rnacentral:tRNA from 1 species
GCCAACGUGACGUAGUGGUUUGAGCAUUGAACUAUGACUCUGGAGACCAGGGUUCGAUUCCCAGCAUGGCCA